UGAACGCUGGCGGCGUGCCUAAUACAGGCAAGUCGAGCGAACGGACGAGAAGCUUGCUUUUCUGAUGUUAGCGACGGACGGGUGAGUAACACGUGGAUAACCUACCUAUAAGACUGGGAUAACUUCGGGAAACCGGAGCUAAUACCGGAUAAUAUUUUGAACCGCAUGGUUCAAAAGUGAAAGACGGUCUUGCUGUCACUUAUAGAUGGAUCCGCGCUGCAUUAGCUAGUUGGUAAGGUAACGGCUUACCAAGGCAACGAUGCAUAGCCGACCUGAGAGGGUGAUCGGCCACACUGGAACUGAGACACGGUCCAGACUCCUACGGGAGGCAGCAGUAGGGAAUCUUCCGCAAUGGGCGAAAGCCUGACGGAGCAACGCCGCGUGAGUGAUGAAGGUCUUCGGAUCGUAAAACUCUGUUAUUAGGGAAGAACAUAUGUGUAAGUAACUGUGCACAUCUUGACGGUACCUAAUCAGAAAGCCACGGCUAACUACGUG
rnacentral:rRNA from 1 species